UACGGAGGGUGCGAGCGUUGUCCGGAAUCAUUGGGCGUAAAGGGCGCGUAGGUGGCCCGGUCAGUUCGUGGUGAAAGCGCGGGGCUCAACCCUGCGUCGGCCAUGAAUACUGCCGCGGCUGGAGCACUGUAGAGGCAGGCGGAAUUCCGGGUGUAGAGGUGAAAUUCGUAGAUAUUCGCAAGAACACCAGUGGCGAAGGCGGCUCACUGGCCCGAUACUGACGCUGAGGUGCGAAAGCGUGGGGAGCAAACAGG
rnacentral:rRNA from 1 species